UAGUCCACGCCGUAAACGAUGGACACUAGCUGUUGGGAUUAAUCUCAGCGGCUAAGCGAAAGUGAUAAGUGUCCCACCUGGGGAGUACGAUCGCAAGAUUGAAACUCAAAGGAAUUGACGGGGGCCCGCACAAGCGGUGGAGCAUGUGGUUUAAUUCGAUGAUACGCGAGGAACCUUACCAGGGCUUAAAUGUAAUAUGACAGGACUAGAGAUAGUUUUUUCUUCGGACAUAUUACAAGGUGCUGCAUGGUUGUCGUCAGCUCGUGCCGUGAGGUGUCAGGUUAAGUCCUAUAACGAGCGCAACCCCUGCCGUUAGUUGCCAGCAUUUAAAGAUGGGGACUCUAGCGGGACUGCCGGUGCAAACCGAGAGGAAGGUGGGGAUGACGUCAACUCAUCACGGCCCUUACGUCCUGGGGCUACACACGUGCUACAAUGGGUAGUGACAGAGAGCAGCUACUGCGCAAGCAGGGUGCGAACUCGCGAGGGGUAA
rnacentral:rRNA from 1 species